UACAGAGGUGGCAAGCGUUGUUCGGAAUUACUGGGCGUAAAGGGCGCGUAGGCGGUUCGUUAAGUCCUGUGUGAAAUCCCCCGGCUCAACUGGGGAACUGCACAGGAAACUAGCGGGCUUGAGUUCGGGAGAGGGAAGCGGAAUUCCGGGUGUAGCGGUGAAAUGGCGUAGAUAUCCGGAGGAACACCGGUGGCGAAGGCGGCUCCUGGACCGACACUGACGCUGAGGCGCGAAAGCUAGGGGAGCAAACGGG
rnacentral:rRNA from 1 species